rnacentral:rRNA from 1 species
GACGAACGCUGGCGGCGUGCCUAAUACAUGCAAGUAGAACGCUGAAGGAGGAGCUUGCUCUUCUGGAUGAGUUGCGAACGGGUGAGUAACGCGUAGGUAACCUGCCUGGUAGCGGGGGAUAACUAUUGGAAACGAUAGCUAAUACCGCAUAAUAGUAGAUGUUGCAUGAUAUUUACUUAAAAGGUGCAAUUGCACCACUACCAGAUGGACCUGCGUUGUAUUAGCUAGUUGGUGGGGUAACGGCUCACCAAGGCGACGAUACAUAGCCGACCUGAGAGGGUGAUCGGCCACACUGGGACUGAGACACGGCCCAGACUCCUACGGGAGGCAGCAGUAGGGAAUCUUCGGCAAUGGACGAAAGUCUGACCGAGCAACGCCGCGUGAGUGAAGAAGGUUUUCGGAUCGUAAAGCUCUGUUGUAAGAGAAGAACGAGUGUGAGAGUGGAAAGUUCACACUGUGACGGUAUCUUAACAGAAAGGGACGGCUAACUACGUG